rnacentral:tRNA from 1 species
GCCAACGUAGCUUAGUUAAAGCAUGACACUGAAGAUGUUAAGACGGGCCCUAGAAAGCCCCGUAAGCA